rnacentral:rRNA from 1 species
ACGUAGCAAUCGGAAGUGGUUCCAAGAAAAGCCUCUAAGCUUCAGUCAUACGAGACCGUACCGCAAACCGACACAGGUGGGCGAGAUGAGUAUUCUAAGGCGCUUGAGAGAACUCGGGAGAAGGAACUCGGCAAAUUGGUACCGUAACUUCGGGAAAAGGUACGCCUCGGUAGCUUGGUCACUUUACUGUGAUAGGGCGAAAAGGUUGCAAUAAACUGGUGGCUGCGACUGUUUAAUAAAAACACAGCACUCUGCAAACACGAAAGUGGACGUAUAGGGUGUGACGCCUGCCCGGUGCUGGAAGAUUAAAUGAUGGGGUGCAAGCUCUUGAUUGAAGUCCCAGUAAACGGCGGCCGUAACUAUAACGGUCCUAAGGUAGCGAAAUUCCUUGUCGGGUAAGUUCCGACCUGCACGAAUGGCGUAACGAUGGCCACACUGUCUCCUCCCGAGACUCAGCGAAGUUGAAAUGUUUGUGAUGAUGCAAUCUACCCGCGGCUAGACGGAAAGACCCCAUGAACCUUUACUGUAGCUUUGCAUUGGACUUUGAAUCAAUCUGUGUAGGAUAGGUGGGAGGCUUUGAAGUAGGGACGCCAGUCUCUAUGGAGCCAUCCUUGAAAUACCACCCUGGUUCAUUUGAGGUUCUAACCUUGGUCCGUUAUCCGGAUCGGGGACAGUGCAUGGUAGGCAGUUUGACUGGGGCGGUCUCCUCCUAAAGUGUAACGGAGGAGUUCGAAGGUACGCUAGGUACGGUCGGACAUCGUGCUAAUAGUGCAAUGGCAUAAGCGUGCUUAACUGCGAGACCGACAAGUCGAGCAGGUACGAAAGUAGGACAUAGUGAUCCGGUGGUUCUGUAUGGAAGGGCCAUCGCUCAACGGAUAAAAGGUACUCUGGGGAUAACAGGCUGAUUCCUCCCAAGAGUUCAUAUCGACGGGGGAGUUUGGCACCUCGAUGUCGGCUCAUCACAUCCUGGGGCUGUAGCCGGUCCCAAGGGUAUGGCUGUUCGCCAUUUAAAGUGGUACGUGAGCUGGGUUUAAAACGUCGUGAGACAGUUUGGUCCCUAUCUGCCGUGGGCGUUGGAAAUUUGAAGGGGGCUGCUCCUAGUACGAGAGGACCGGAGUGGACGAACCUCUGGUGUACCGGUUGUCACGCCAGUGGCAUUGCCGGGUAGCUAAGUUCGGAAGAGAUAACCGCUGAAAGCAUCUAAGCGGGAAACUUGCCUUAAGAUGAGAUUUCCCAGAGCCUUGAGCUCUUUGAAGGGUCGUUCGAGACCAGGACGUUGAUAGGUCAGGUGUGGAAGUGCAGUAAUGCAUUAAGCUAACUGAUACUAAUUGCCCGUACGGCUUGUCCCUAUAACCUU